UGCCAGCCGCCGCGGUAAUACGGAGGGAGCUAGCGUUGUUCGGAAUUAUUGGGCGUAAAGCGCGUGUAGGCGAUUCGUUAAGUCUGAUGUGAAAGCCCGGGGCUCAACCCCGGAAGUGCAUUGGAAACUGGCGAACUUGAGUACGGGAGAGGAGAGAGGAAUUCCUGGUGUAGAGGUGAAAUUCGUAGAUAUCAGGAGGAACACCUAUGGCGAAAGCAGCUCUCUGGCCCGAUACUGACGCUGAGGCCCGAAAGCGUGGGGAGCGAACAGGAUUAGAUA
rnacentral:rRNA from 1 species